GAUGAACGCUGGCGGCGUGCCUAAUACAUGCAAGUCGAGCGAACGGACGAGAAGCUUGCUUCUCUGAUGUUAGCGGCGGACGGGUGAGUAACACGUGGAUAACCUACCUAUAAGACUGGGAUAACUUCGGGAAACCGGAGCUAAUACCGGAUGAUAUUUUGAACCGCAUGGUUCAAAAGUGAAAGACGGUCUUGCUGUCACUUAUAGAUGGAUCCGCGCUGCAUUAGCUAGUUGGUAAGGUAACGGCUUACCAAGGCAACGAUGCAUAGCCGACCUGAGAGGGUGAUCAGCCACACUGGAACUGAGACACGGUCCAGACUCCUACGGGAGGCAGCAGUAGGGAAUCUUCCGCAAUGGGCGAAAGCCUGACGGAGCAACGCCGCGUGAGUGAUGAAGGUCUUCGGAUCGUAAAGCUCUGUUAUUAGGGAAGAACAUAUGUGUAAGUAACUGUGCACAUCUUGACGGUACCUAAUCAGAAAGCCACGGCUAACUACGUG
rnacentral:rRNA from 1 species